rnacentral:rRNA from 1 species
CCCUUAGAUGUUCUGGGCCGCACGCGCGCUACACUGACGAUGGCAACGAGUUUUUCCUUCGCCGAAAGGGGUGGGUAAUCUUUUGAAACAUCGUCGUGCUGGGGAUAGAUCAUUGCAAUUUUUGAUCUUGAACGAGGAAUUCCUAGUAAGCGCGAGUCAUCAGCUCGCGUUGAUUACGUCCCUGCCCUUUGUACACACCGCCCGUCGCUACUACCGAUUGAAUGGUUUAGUGAGGACUCCUGAUUGGCGCCGCCGCCCCGGCAACGGAGCAGCGGACGGCCGAAAAGUUGUUCAAACUUGAUCAUUUAGAGGAAGUAAAAGUCGUAACA